rnacentral:rRNA from 1 species
UACGGAGGGUGCAAGCGUUAUCCGGAUUUACUGGGUUUAAAGGGUGCGUAGGUGGGUCUGUAAGUCAGUGGUGAAAUCUCCGAGCUUAACUUGGAAACUGCCAUUGAUACUAUAGGUCUUGAAUUAUCUGGAGGUAAGCGGAAUAUGUCAUGUAGCGGUGAAAUGCUUAGAUAUGACAUAGAACACCCAUUGCGAAGGCAGCUUACUACGGAUUGAUUGACACUGAGGCACGAAAGCGUGGGGAUCAAACAGG